CCUUCCAACCAACAGCUCUAUCUUCAUGUUCACUACCACAAUUUUUUGCAUUUCUAUAUAUCUAAUCUAAUCUAAUCCAAUCCAAUUGGGUGCCCCUACAAAACAACUUGUUCAUUAAAGAAAGCAACUUCAAUUCCUGAAGAAGGUUAAGCAGACGGGUGGUGGGCUUUUCAAUCAAUGACUCAAAUCCACGUCACAUGGGCCCCACUAAGCAAUUUCACAUCGCCAUGCCAUAUAAAAUUAUAAAAAAUAAUGAAAAUAAAAUUGGUGCAAAAAAGUUGUAGGGUCCACGUCCCCAAUUGAGGGCCCAAGUUAUGGGCCACCCUCACGGAAGAAGUUAGAAGAAGAGCUGCGACAGCAGCUGAAUGGCCAGCGCGACGGUAACCAAACCCGCAAUUGCAUGUGAUGUAGUACGCGUGGACGACGAUGCUUCGCUUUGAUCGUACGAGGCACCUUCGUAUUCCAUUGUGUUGUUUAUCGGCUCCGGUGAGCUGCUUGUAGACGACGGUGU
rnacentral:lncRNA from 1 species